rnacentral:rRNA from 1 species
GAUAAACGCUAGCGGCAGGCUUAACACAUGCAAGUCGAGGGGCAGCAUAGAUUGUAGCAAUACAAUUGGUGGCGACCGGCGCACGGGUGCGUAACGCGUAUGCAACCUACCCGUCACAGGGGGAUAAUCCAGAGAAAUCUGGUCUAAUACCCCAUAACAUAUGGAUCAGCAUCGGUUCAUGUUGAAAUUUUCGGAGGUGACGGAUGGGCAUGCGUAGCAUUAGCUUGUUGGUGAGGUAACGGCUCACCAAGGCGACGAUGCUUAGGGGGACUGAGAGGUUUUCCCCCCACACUGGUACUGAGACACGGACCGGACUCCUACGGGAGACAGCAGUGAGGAAUAUUGGUCAAUGGGCGCAAGCCUGAACCAGCCAUGCCGCGUGCAGGAUGACGGCUCUAUGAGUUGUAAACUGCUUUUGUACGAGGGUAAAGUGGGUUACGUGUAACCUUUUGAAAGUAUCGUACGAAUAAGGAUCGGCUACUCCGUGCCAGCCGCCGCGGUAU